ensembl:lncRNA
GUGUUUAAAUGACAUGACACGUCUGUGUGUGUUUAUAUGACAUGACACGUCUGUGUGUGUUUAAAUGACAUGACACGUCUGUGUGUGUUUAAAUGACAUGACACGUCUGUGUGUGUUUAAAUGACAUGACACGUCUGUGUGUGUUUAAAUGACAUGACACGUCUGUGUGUGUUUAUAUGACAUGACACGUCUGUGUGUGUUUAUAUGACAUGACACGUCUGUGUGUUUUGUAGUUUGGGUAUUGGGGUGAAAGGUGUACAGUAGAGCUGGGAGAUAUGAAAAAAACAUUAUCCAUGUCACAAUAACUGGCUGAAUUAUCACGUUAAUGAUGAAUUGAACAAUGUUUAUUCAUCUGCACCAGUUAUGUGUUUAGAUUACCCUUAGUAGGGCUGACUCCAAUCAGUCCACUGGUCCAUUGUUUGGUCCUUAGGCUGUUGGUCGACUGAGAUUGUUUUAGUUGAGCAGUAAAACAUAUAUAUUUUCACCUAUCUCAGUGAACUCAUCCAUUGCUGAGGCCUAGACCAAAAGCCAAUUUAUGCUUGAUUUGAAAUUGUGGUGGAGCCUCCAGAGGCCAAAUUGAGCUCUAUACCACUUCACUAUGUCCCUCCCAAAUGUUGUACCAAUGUGGAGGGCUCUGUAUAGCUCCACGAUGACAUGAUUGGUUCACGGUAGGUGAGGGUGGUACAUCCUGUAUAAACACACUCCCUUGACAACAGCUCUGCACUGCUCCGUAAGGAGUAUGAAUGCCCUGACUUCUACUGAGGUCCUUCUUGCCCUGACUUCUACUGAGGUCCUUCUUGCCCUGACUUCUACUGAGGUCCUUCUUGCCCUGACUUCUGCUGAGGUCCUUCUUGCCCUGACUUAUACUGAGGCCGUUCUUGCCCUGACUUCUACUGAGUCCCUUCUUGCCCUGACUUCUGCUGAGGCUGUUCUUGCCCUGACUUCUGCUGAGUCCCUUCUUGCCCUGACUUCUACUGAGGCCCUUCUUGCCCUGACUUCUACUGAGGCCGUAUCACUGUAAAUGCUGCAUGGCCAAUGCAAACGUCAGAUUGACCAUGCACCCAGAUGCACAAUGCACUUCUCCAACCAGAAUGCACUUCUCUCUCCAGAAUGCACUUCUCUCCCACCUAUUGGUGCACAUUUGUUUCAUAACUUCAUUGUGUGAGUUGGUAGUGUAUAUCACUUCCCAAUAUCACCAGUAGUAUGUUUACCGUUAAUUCAUAUGAUUUCUAAUCCACAAUGUUUGUUACUUUGGUUAUGGUAGUUUAUUUUAAUCCAUUGAGUAGUAUUCCGCUAGUCCUGUUCUCAUUGUCUGAGUGGACACAUUGUUUGCAGAGUGCACAACCUAUGCUACACUAGUGAGAAUUUGGGGGUUUAUCUCAGUCCAUUUAUGAGUUUUGUCAAUUUCAUUUUGUUAUUGUCUUUCGUUUGGAGUGCUCCUGUCAAUGUUGAGUAAGGACGGGCACGCGUAGAAGUAGGCCUAUAGGCUAUGUGGCCUGAUUUACACAGAAGUAGGCCUAUAGGCUCCGUGGCCUGAUUUACACAUAGAAGUAGGCCUAUAGGCUCCGUGGCCUAAUUUACAUAUAGAAGUAGGCCAAUAGACUACGUGGCCUGCGCGCAAAUGUAGGCAUAUAAAUGUCCUCAUUUGGGGAUCUGAUAGUAUUUCUGAUUGGCUUAAUGCACCACCACUAAUGACCUGUGGAGCUUCUCAAAGUGAUGUUUUCUUCACCUCAAACAAAUUCUGUAUUUAGAUACAUUGACAAUUACAAUAGUUCCUCAAUGUAUUUGAAAAAUCUUUCCAGCUCUCGCCCUUUCGAUAACCACUCAGCGUGACAGGGAAAAUGCUCUGAUCCAGUGGGAAUGUCAUAAAAUAGGCUUCUCAUCAGUGCUUGACUUGGACUGAAAUAGGUUCCGGUAGUCAUUUUGGGUGUCAGUACUGUUUAUAUUUAGGUGCAGGAGCUCCACAAUACUUCUGAGAUGAUAUUUAUUAAGAGGAACUGGAGCUCAAGUAGUAGAACAUUUGAGGUAAGCUCCUGCCCAAGUCAAGCACUGCUUCUUAUCCCUUGAGCAAAUAGCCUACAGCUGUGUCUGUCCCAAGCUCGCUAGUGCAAGCUUUGGGCCAGACCCAUUAAUUGUAUCAAUGUUUAAAGUUCUUUGCAGACAGGCCAUGUGUAGCCAAUGCGAUUUAUAGGAUUUUUAACAUUUUAAAUCAGGAUAUUUUCUACCUGCAGGUUGCAAUGUUUUUAUUUGUUGGCUUUAUGCAGGCUAUUUUUACAUUGUUGGCAAUGGCAAUUGAACUUACUUUUUAGGUUUAUCAUUUAGAUUUGGAUGAAAUUUGUUAACCACAUGACAAUGAUUUUGUGAUAAGACCUUAUAAAUUAAAUGAAACCAUUCCACGUACAUGUGCACUUAAACCAUUACUGGCACGCAGAUUGGUAGAAAUGGUAAGAUAAAUUGGCAUUCCACAUGAGAAAGGUUGCAGACUCCUCGUGUAGCCUAUCACCGGCAACUUCAAGAGAGUAAUGGCAGAAUCUGCUGGAGGAGAAUAGUUGGGUCAGGUUUUUUUCUUCUGGUUAUCUUGAUCUCUGGCACCCUCUUGAGGCAUCAACCCGUACGCUUAAAGCAUCAGACAAGCUCAAUGCAUAUAGUUGAUAUUAUUAAAACACAUGGUGUGUAUAAAAUGGAAAAAUACACGUUUAAAUGUUGAGCAAUUGAUUGGUCGACAUAACAUGACUUUCGGUCAAGUGAGAUUUAUUUUUUUAGUCGGACAGCCCUAACCCUUACAACUACUUAAAUGUUGCAGCUAUCAAUUGUCCCAUGAACAAUCACCCAUAUUAGCAAACUUAUUUAAUUUAAAACUUCACAUUU